GACGCACGCUGGCGGCGUGCUUAAUACAUGCAAGUCGAACGGACAGGCCCUGCUUUUGUGGUGUGCUUGUGUGGCGAACGCGUGUGUAACACGUGAGUAACCUCCCCCUGACUUUGGGAUAAAUCCUUGAAACUGGGGCUAAUAUCGGAUAUGAGCUCCUGCUGCAUAUUGGGGGAUGGUAAAUUUCGGCGGUUGUGGAUGGACUCGCGGCUUACCAGCUUGUUGGUGGGGUAGUUGCUUACCAAGGCUUUGACGGGUAGCCGGCCUGAGAGGGUGACCGGCCACAGUGGGACUGAGAGACGGCCCAGACGCCUACGGGAGGCAGCAGGGGGGAAUAUUGCACAAUGGGCGGAAGCCUGAUGCAGCAACGCCGCGUGCGGGAUGACGGCCUUCGGGUGGUAAACCUCUUUCUCCUGUGACGAGGCGUGAGUGACGGUAAUGGGUAAAGAAGCACCGGCUAACUACGUG
rnacentral:rRNA from 1 species